GCGGACGGGUGAGUAACACGUAAAGAACCUGCCCUCAGGUCUGGGAUAACCACGAGAAAUCGGGGCUAAUACCGGAUGGGUCAUCGGACCGCAUGGUCCGAGGAUGAAAGGCGCUUCGGCGUCGCCUGGGGAUGGCUUUGCGGUGCAUUAGCUAGUUGGUGGGGUAAUGGCCCACCAAGGCGACGAUGCAUAGCCGACCUGAGAGGGUGAUCGGCCACACUGGGACUGAGACACGGCCCAGACUCCUACGGGAGGCAGCAGUAGGGAAUCUUCCACAAUGGACGAAAGUCUGAUGGAGCAACGCCGCGUGAACGAUGAAGGCCUUCGGGUCGUAAAGUUCUGUUGUAAGGGAAGAACAAGUGCCGCAGGCAAUGGCGGCACCUUGACGGUACCUUGCGAGAAAGCCACGGCUAACUACGUGCCAGCAGCCGCGGUAAUACGUAGGUGGCAAGCGUUGUCCGGAAUUAUUGGGCGUAAAGCGCGCGCAGGCGGCCUCUUAAGUCUGAUGUGAAAGCCCCCGGCUCAACCGGGGAGGGCCAUUGGAAACUGGGAGGCUUGAG
rnacentral:rRNA from 2 species